UUCCUCUUCUCUUAAUCCGAGUUUCUCCGGCAUCAUCCGACACCAAAACCUAUGCAGCCAGCGAUGUCUUCAUCAUAAGCAACAAGUUAACCAAGCCUCAAUUUGGAACCCACUGCUUACCAAGAAAGGUAGUGAAGAAACGUUUGAAUGUUUGAUGGCUUUCAGGCUUGAAUUUGAAAGAUGACUCACAAAAGGGUGAACCCAGAUCAAAUCCAAUUGAGAAUUAAUCCAAUCCACGCUGAUAUUGAUGAGGAGAUCACCAGUCUUCGAUCCCAAGUCAGAAGAUUGAGAAACUGCAGCCACUUUGCCCAAAUAACAAUGGAGUUCACAUCUAUACUCUGAUCCAAUCCAAAUGGGAAAAGUUGUUCUUCAAAAGGUACCGUGUCUCAGACUCAUGGGCUUGCAAUGAUAGUUGUCAAAGACCAGUUAUAAUGUGAUACUUCAGUGCAAACUUGAGAGAGAUGCACCUUGCGUAACCGAGUUUUGGUCGAAACAAUUAGAAAGCAGUUCGAGUAGUGGUGAGAAUGUAGUACAACUCAUUACGAUGAUUAAGUAAUACUCAUUUCAUGGCUUCCUGGAAUGUUCUGCCCUCCAACUUAUAAAUUUGAAAAUGAUGUUCUGUAUGUAUAUAUCAGGGUUUCAAUGGGUACAUUUGUUUUCCCAUACUCUUGAUAUAUAAUUGUGCAUCCUUGCUAGGAGUGUCGAGAGCAAAAUAUUUAUCUCAGAUAUACUGCAUGUAUAUCAACAAUGGAAACUUGAAGCAUUGACUUCAUGAAGUCUUGCUUAUUUACACAAGGCCAUUCAACCAAAGGUGACACAUCGAAACAUUAAGCAGACGCUCCUUCUUUGCCACUAACCACUUUGUAAAGGAAUGGAAAUUUUCUGGUGGUUUACUUUGAUGAUAUCCUAAUUUUCCAAUCUCCCUUAUGCCUAGGACGUUGUCUGGGCCAAGAGCCAUAGUUGAUCAGAAAGAGUUGAUACUAACAUUGGUUUGCCAAAUCAAGUUUGAAUUCAAGAGUGAGUCCUGAAAAAAUUGAAUUCAAGGAUGCAGCUGUUGGACAGCUAAAAAAGGAAACUGACUGUAUCCUAACGGUAAUUGGAUGCAAGUGUUUUAAUUUUCAGUUGCAACAGGAUUAGUAUCAAUGCUUUGAAUUGUGAUUUUGCAGGGAGCAAGACGAUAGUGUGUCAGUGCAUUUGUGCUUAAAGGAACGAGUUUUUUUGUUGUUUGAAUACACUAAGAUCUAAUCGAUGGCCAAUUUGUUGAUUCUGCAUCAAAUUGAUCAGUCUUUCCAAAUUCACCGUAGUUAUGGAAGCAUGCUCGAGGGUGAGGCUGAUGAACUCAAGUGCGGUUUUCGAAUGAGCGGUGGGAGACCCAUCAAGAGCAGAUUAGAGGUAUAGACCAUGCUAGAAAUGUGUCUCUCAAUUUAUAUUAGAUCUGUUGUAAUGUCAAGAAAGCGUGCAGGGUUUGUUAAUUGAAUUGUAUAAGAUUAAGGAUUCAUUUCAAACAAUUCCUAUUGUUAUUAAGAGUGAGUGAAUUAAAAUGUUAUUUAUCUACAUAA